UCCACGCCGUAAACGAUGAUAACUCGUUGUUGGCGAUACACAGUCAGCGACUAAGGGAAACCGAUAAGUUAUCCACCUGGGGAGUACGGUCGCAAGAUUGAAACUCAAAGGAAUUGACGGGGGCCCGCACAAGCGGUGGAGCAUGUGGUUUAAUUCGAUGAUACGCGAGGAACCUUACCCGGGCUCAAAUGCUGGACGACAGUCCCUGAAAGGGGAUCUCCUUCGGGCGUCCAGCAAGGUGCUGCAUGGUUGUCGUCAGCUCGUGCCGUGAGGUGUCGGGUUAAGUCCCAUAACGAGCGCAACCCCUACCCUUAGUUACCAGCAUGUUAUGAUGGGGACUCUGAGGGAACUGCC
rnacentral:rRNA from 1 species